UACGGAGGGUGCAAGCGUUAUCCGGAUUUACUGGGUUUAAAGGGUGCGUAGGUGGACAUUUAAGUCAGCGGUGAAAUCUCCGGGCUUAACUCGGAAAUUGCCAUUGAUACUAUUUGUCUUGAAUUAUCUGGAGGUGAGCGGAAUAUGUCAUGUAGCGGUGAAAUGCUUAGAUAUGACAUAGAACACCAAUUGCGAAGGCAGCUCACUACGGAUAUAUUGACACUGAGGCACGAAAGCGUGGGGAUCAAACAGG
rnacentral:rRNA from 2 species